UUUCCCUUCCUGGUUGGACUGACAACAACAAUGAAGAAGUUGAAUCGCCGGCCAUGUCUCUUGAUUUCUGUCCACUUCCUCACCUUAGGCUUUAUGAUAGAAGGAAAUGUGUUCACUAGUUGUGACUUUGAGGAGGGAUUUUGUGGCUGGACCAACCAGAAGUGGAGUAGAACCGAAUUUGAUUCACCUUUGGGAAACACGGGCCCUGCGAGCGCCUAUCAUGGACAAUAUUACAUAUACUCACACGGUGGCGAGAUAGGCCAUAACGUCACGGCGACUCUUGAGAGCAUUGACAUUCCAGCGUCAAAAUAUUGUUUGCUGUUUAACUACCAUAUGAAGGGAUCGCAUAUAGAGAAACUAGAAGUGAAAUUAAACGACCAAUCAACGGCCAUCUGGUAUCGAAAUGCAGAUCAGGGGACGGAGUGGAAGUGUGCCACCAUUAAUGUAACCAUUGGUCAGCCAGACAGUCGCGUAAGUCCAGUCUGUUCAUUUUUUAGUGCAACUUUGACUACAGUUUGAUCUAUCAACUGUUGUCGAAAAGAAUUGGUAUCUUAUUAAAAAACCUUUAUUGCAUGCAUUAUUGCACGAUUUACAAAACGUCUUUAAUCUUUAUUUUAGUGAAGAUACAUUUAAGUUUGACUAAUUUUAAUAUUUAGAUAAAAUCUCAAUGGUUUUCCACUGUAUUUCAAGAAAUGAUUACCAACAAUGUAAUUUAUUUUUUUUCAAAUUUUAUAAAUAAUUGAAAAGUCCAAUACUUUUUAAUGAAUUUUUUUUUUUAAAUUUUGAAUAUUAAAGAUACGAUUUAUGAGCAGAACAGGGAAAACAGAAAGUUUGAAGUAUGACAUCAUCGGAUUGGACAAUAUCAAACUGGUGUCUGGCGUUUGUAACUUACUAGAUUGUGACUCAUCAUUCAACGUAACGUCAACAACGACUCAACAACAACCAUUACCAUCAACGACAACGGAUUCAGUGAUCCAAGUACAGGAGUCGACGGAGACUGAAUCAUCGUGGUUUAUAAGGAACUUGCCCUAUUUGGUUGGAGUGCCCGGGGCAGUUUUUCUCGUUUCUGUUGUCGUUGUCGGCGCCUGUAUUUUCCACUCUCGCAAGGAAAGUUCCAGACGGUUGCCUGCUGGAAUCAUGCGUGGUCCAUACAGAGCCGAUGGACUAAAUGACAGAUACCGAGAUGAUCCCACCAAUCAUCGGGAUACAGGACAUGAACUGUACUAUUCUGAGCCGGACACGGACACUUACGAUUAUGUAGACGUCGUUCGAGACCCAGACAGUCUCUAUCUGGACGUUAUACCCGACUCAUCGGGUGCAGACUGUGUUCAAAAUGGCAGUCAUCCGGCAGAUGUAUCUCCAAAACCAGGAGACUAUUAUAAUGAUGAGAGUCCGUAUUGUGAACCAGUUAAAGCAACACAAGAUAAAUAACAGAGAGAAAAAACCCAAACUUAAAAUGCAUGUCUUAAACAGUGUAUGCAUGUUUAAUAAUUUUAUUCCAUAGACAACGCUAAAACCAGUGGAGAGUAAACAUUUCCAUACUAUGAAAUAGUUGUGACGGAUACUAUAUACUGUAAUUAAAAGCGUUUCCAUUACUGAAAUUAAAACAUAAACCAUC
rnacentral:misc_RNA from 1 species